GUUGAAGCGGAGGACAGUUUGGAGAAGUGCUGUGGUGGGCUAAGAAGUCCUAGACCCUAGGAUUCAUAGGUCACAGAGCUUUCUGCAGUUCUCCAGCUGUCAUCUCCAAUCUCAUCACUUAUGAGAAAUUCAUUCAGCUUCUGUACGCUUUAAAAAAAAAAAGACAAUGAGUGAAUGCCAGAUUUCCAUGGGUAAGCUUGUAAUGAUCUGUGCUCCAAUCACCGGAUCAGAAUACUCAAACUUCAUGAUUGCAUGGACUACCUCCACUCCCUUUUGGAUUGCAUAGCAUCCUUGUGGCAAUUAUCUGCAUGGAAAAAAGAACAGUAUGAAAGGAGUUAAUGCAUUUUCAAACUUUAUUGUAUUGCAAUAAGAACAACUGGAAAUGAGGAGAAGAGCUGACACCAUGUGACUAACCAGCUCUCUGCAAUCCACCAGCAAGAGCUCUGUGGCUUGCAGAACACAUGCUAUUCUUGCUAUGUUAUUCUUUUAAAAAAAUAAUCUGCACAGUUACUCAUUAACCUUUUGGGGCUGCCUCAGUCCUCACUUCACCCCAGGGGCAUGUAGCAAAGGGGAAAGCCCAACCAACUAGCGAGAGAAGCGUGACAAUGACAAGCCCUUUACAGUAUAUCCAAAUCCAGAGUUUAUCACCACACAGUGUGACAGGAACCUCUUCAACAGGCAGUGGGAGGAAUCUGAGCCAACUCCAUAAGGAACGGACACACUAAUCAAUGUAACUCUUAUUAUGUGAAUGCACUAAAGAACAUGCAAUGACAUUGACCUACUGCCUUAGAAGGCAUGGGUCAAACAUUUAUUUCAGCCACAGGCAAAAACUCUUCUGCCACCAGAGCUAUGCUAAUUUUUAAAGUGAAAUAACUGGUCUGGCCAAAGUCUAAGAACUUAUUCAUAUCAGGGACAAGCACUUGAUCCUAUCAAUUUAUAUGAUUGAUGAUGGGGGGCAUGAAGUGGCCAAGCACACAUUCCUCAUGCCUCUGCACUUGAGAGUUUCUAGGUUCAUGGGAGAAAGAUGAUAGGAAAUAAAUUUUCCAAUGGGUGAGGUUUGUUUUGGCAAAUAGGGUCUUUCAAUAAUGUCCUUUGGGGUGGCUAAGGAUAGUAAGUGAAACACACACACCACGGGGAUAUUAGGAGAGCACUAAACAUAGCACAGAGGGAGGAGGAGUGAUGGGGAGGCUAAAGUGAUUUAUAAAGAGGCAUGAGAUUUUCCAUGAGUCUGAAAUCAUUUUAAACCCAGAAAAAAUCUCUGAUGUGUCCCUGUUGCCCCUUCAACAAAACACUGAUUAUUUAAUUCGUUAGUGAAUGGGGAGGGAGGACUCAGAAGACUAAUGUCCUGGGGUUUGUUGUUUGUUGUUAUUGUUAUCCACCAAACAGAGGCAGCAGCAACAAUACAAUAUUUUGCCAGAGUCCCUCAACCUGGACUUGGAGGGACUAUGUCUGAGGGUGGGAAGUUUAGCUCAGUUUUCAGAUCCUGUCAGUGCAUGGCAUCUCUGUCAGUGAGGGUGUCAAUUUGUGCCAGCUGUGGUGGUAGUUUUGUGAUACAUACACCUGUGUAACUACACUGAGACAGCAAUUCCUUUCACAUAGGCCACUGCAGAAUCAACAGAG